rnacentral:rRNA from 1 species
AGCUUCUUUCAUACAUCUGCUCCAGGAUGGGACUGCGUCUUAUCAGGCUAUUGGCGGGGUAAUGGCCCACCAAACCUGUAACCAGUACGGGCCUUGAGAGAGGGGGCCCGGAGAUGGACACUGAGAGAAGGGUCCAGGUCCUACGGGGCGCAGCAGGCGCGAAACCUUCGCAAUGCGCGAAAGCGGUAGCAGGUUAAUCCGAGCGGUUCCCGGUGAGGGAAUCCUUUUGCGGCCUUUAAAAAGGCCGGCGAAUAAGGGGAGGGCAAGUCUGGUGUCAGCCGCCGUGGUAAUACCAGCUCCUCGAGUGGUCGGGGCGAUUAUUGGGCCUAAAGCAUCCGUAGCCGGUUCUGUAGGUCCUCUGUUAAAUCCAACGGCUUAACCGUUGGCCUGCAGAGGAUACCGCAAGACUAGGAGGCGGGAGAGGCAGACGGUACUCUACGUGCAGGGGUAAAAUCCUUUGAUCCGUGGAAGACCACCAGUGGCGAAGGCGGUCCGAUAAGAACGCGACUCG